UAUAUCUUUCUCUUUUUAUAAACCCUUUCUUACUUUACAUAGGGAUAUAUGAUGAGCAUAGUUAAUAUUGGUGAAAAGUAGAUUGAUUUUUAGAACUUACUUUCUAUUGAGAAAGAUUAUAAAGAUAUGAGAACUAGUGCACCUUGACUGAGAAACAAAGAAACUCUUUGAGAAAGUAGCUCAACCAGUUUUAUGAGAAUAAAUUUAGGAAUUAAUUAAAACAGCUUUAUAAGACACAGUUUUAGAAUAAUGUUAGAAAUAUUAUUUUAUUUAGAUUCUUAAGUUUAGAAAUUCUUAAGUUUUUAGUUGUAUAGGCUUCUGAUAUGUUUUAAGAAUGAUUCAUAAACUUUAGUAUAUUUUAAAUAUAAGAUUUAAAGGGACUUUUCUUAGAUGGGAAUUUUAGAUUAGAAAUAAAGUACAGGUGUAGUUUAGGUUAAUGAUUGGUUAAGAGACUUAGAGUCUGGUUGCGUAGUUUGGCAUUAGUUAAUAAGAAAAUAGCAUAUCUUGGGAAAAAUAGUAAAUCUUGGGAAAAUCUGAAAAAUGUAAAUUAGUGACGUAUUUUAUUAAUGAUUCUGUACUUUUAAUAAUUAUAUAACUGAAGGACAUAUCCUGGAAAAAUGUAAAUUAAUGUUACAUUUUUUGUACCCCCAAUCAUGGUUAAGGAAAUGUCAUGUCUUGGCAAAGUUUUAAAUUAUAUAAUCAAUGACGUAUUCUGAAUCUAUAAUGAUGAGAAAAAUUGUAAUAAAAGAUGACCCAGAGAAAGCUGCAUUAGCUCUCUCUCUGGAGAUUGCUCGAACGGAACGACUCCUGUCUCAUCUUUCCAUCGACGCCACUCAUCCUUCAGGACUCCCUGGACCCCGCUAGGGCAGGACCCCGGCAAUUGGUGCCCGAACCAGGUAACUGAAGGUAAGCCCCCUCGGCAUUUGCCCCCUUGUUUUCGGAGUGGAUAGGCCAUUACCCAUGGGUUUCGCGAGCCCCCUGUUGGCAGAACAGGUAAGAGUGGGUAAUUAGGUAAAGGAAAAAUGGGAAAUACAGAAUCUAAGGAACGAGGAUUAUUCAUUGAUAUUGUUAAACAUAUGCUUAGGAAAAAAAUGGAAUUCAUGUUUCCACUUCACAAUUACAGAGGUUUUUUUCAUUUUAUUCAGGAAUGUUGUCCUUGGUUCCCAGAAGAGGGAACCUUAGAUUUAAAAACAUGGGUAAAAAUAAUAGAAGCUUUAAGAGCAUAUUACUCUAACUAUGGACCAGAAAAUAUGCCUGUAGAUGCUAUAGCAUUAUGAAAUCUUUUAAAAGAUAUGUUAGAUCCAGCUCAAGAAGCUGAAAUCUUAAAUAGGAUUAACUCAACUGCCCCUACUGAAGAAACUCCCCUAAGGAAGGACUCUAGGAGCGAAACUUUUGUCCUAAAAAAAGAUGAGGAGAAGGAUCCGUCUUGUUUAGAAAAUAAAGAUAAUUUAAAAGAAGCAGCUACUGAAUAUCAUAAUGAAGAAUUCUUUGCCCCUAUAAGUACACAUUCUUGUGGAUCUUCUACCAAAAAUAAAUUGGGUUCCAAAAUAAAAAAUACCUUACCACCUCCUCCACGAAAUGUAGGAUUUAAAGGAGCUAUGAAAGAGGCUCUACAGUCUGGAGAUUUAAGUUUUACUCUCCCUAUCACUUUUGAUUUAAAUGAUGAAAACUAUAUGCCUCAAUGGGAGCCCGUUUCCUUUAAAAUUUUUAAAAGAAUUAAAACAGUCUGUUCAUGAUUAUGGGCCCACUUCUCCUUAUACUUUACAGAUAGUAGAAAUUAUUGCCACUAGAUGGAUGAUUCCAUAUGAUUGGUUUGCUACUGCAAAAUCUUGUCUCCCUGGAGGGACAUUCUUAUUAUGGAAAACAGAUUAUGAAGAUAGAGCUAAAGAAAGCUCUCAAUAUAAGAAAUCUAUAAAUAGUGAAGUCACUUUUGAUAUGUUAAUGGGAGAAAAUGACUGGGCUCAGCCAAGUGAUCAAUUACAUCUGCCUCAUCCUGCCUUGAUCCAGUGCUCAGAUUUAUCAGUUAAUGCUUGGAGACAAUUGGAAAAUAAAGGAGUUAAAACUUCUGGCUUAAGUACUAUAAAACAAAAGCCUAAAGAACCUUUUGAGGAAUUUUUGUCUCGAUUAAAAGAAUCAGUGGAAAAAAUUAUAACUAAUAAUGAAACUGCACAAAUUAUAAUUAAACAAUUAGCUUUUUAAAAUGCAAAUACUGCAUGUCAGACACUCCUAAGACCUAUUAGAAAGACAGGAAAUUUAUCUGAUUUUGUUAAGGUUUGUGCUGAUGUAUCACCCUCAUAUUUGCAAGGUGUAGCCAUAGCUGCAGCAUUACGGGGACAAACAAAUGCUCAGUUUCUUAAAAGGCUUCAAAACAGAGAACAAAAUAAAGGAAAUCAAAGCUGUUUUUCUUGUGGACAGACAGGUCAUUUUAGUGAAGUUUGUCCUAAUAAAAACUUUCAAAAUAAAGGAAACAUAGUUCCUAAUCAGAUAUGUAGACCCCAAAAUUUAUACCCACGUUGUAAUAAGGGAUUUAACUGGGCAAAAGACUGUCGCUCUAAAUUUCAUAAAGAUGGGCGACUUUUAGAAGGUGGACCAAUGCCUCAAAAAUUUCCACAAAUGACUGCCAAUCCAUUACCGGGAAACUGGUAAUGGGGCCCUCCUCGGGCCCCUUAAAUAAUGGAGGUCAUCAACAAUCUUUUUCAACAGGAUAUACUAUAAGGGCUUUAUUAAGAGCCACACCAGAUUCAGCAGGAUUAGAUUUGGCAUCUUCAGAAUCAGUAGUUAUUCCCUCAGACUCUUCUGUUCUAGCUAUACCUACUAAAAUUUAUGGACCUUUACCUAAAGGAACUUUUGGUCUUAUUCUAGGAAGAAGCUCUGCUUCCCUAUAGGGAAUCAAAGUUAUUCCUGGAGUUGUUGAUUCUGAUUUUACUGGAGAAAUUAAGAUUUUAAUAGAACCCUCAUCUCAGAAGACUUUGAUUAUUCAUAAAGGGCAAAGAAUUGCUCAAAUCUUGCUACUCCCCUAUUUAUCUAUCGGAAACCGAGCUAUUUCAAAUGAACAAAGACAAAAAAAAGGAUUUGGCUCUAGUGAUAUGGCAUUCUGGGUUCAAAAAUUCAAAAUUCUCAUCCUAUGAAAAAACUAGAGAUUCAGGGAAAAAUAAUUGAUGGUUUAUUAGAUACAGGAGCAGAUGUCACUUGUAUAGCUGGAAAAGAUUGGCCUUCAACCUGGCCUACAACAGUAACUCCCUCAACACUUAUGGGACUUGGAACUGCUACUAAUGUAGCAAAAAGCACUCAAAUACUUAAAUGGGCUGAUGAUAAAAAUUCAGGAACUUUUCAGCCAUAUGUUAUUCCUUCUCUUCCUUUUACUUUAUGGGGCCGAGAUAUAAUGUUUAAAAUGGGAGUUUCUCUCUGUACUGCUCUUGUAGAAGAGGCUCAACAGGAUUUUUAAUUGGGGCCAUUGUUGAAACAGCAGAUAAAAUGACUUGGAAAAAUGAUGAGCCUGUAUGGAUAGAACAAUGGCCCUUAACAACAGAAAAAUUACAGGCUGCAGACUUGUUGGUUAAGGAACAACUUAAUUUAAAACACAUAGAACCUUCUAAUAGUCCAUGGAAUACUCCUAUAUUUGUUAUUAAAAAGAAAUGAGGUAAAUGGAGAUUAUUACAAGACUUAAGAGCUAUAAAUGCUACCAUGGAGGAUAUGGGUUCCUUACAACCAGGACUCUCCUCUCCAGUAGCUGUCCCUAAAGGAUUUCAUGUUAUGGUAAUAGACUUACAAUAUUGCUUUUUUACUAUUCCAUUGCAUCCUGAUGAUCGUAAAAGGUUUGCUUUUAGCCUUCCUUCUGUGAAUUUAAAACGGCCAUAUCAACGUUUUCAAUGGAAGGUGUUGCCUCAAGGUAUGAAAAAUAGUCCUACUCUCUGUCAAAAAUAUGUUGCAUUAGCAAUACAACCAAUAAGAGAUAAAUAUAAAGAUGCCUAUAUUAUUCAUUAUAUGGAUGAUAUAUUAAUUGCUCAUAAAGAUGUCCAGUUGCUUCAUCAUAUAUUAUUAAUGUUGACACAGUCUUUACAAAAUUUUGGUUUAAUCAUUGCCCCAGAUAAAAUUCAUCAAUCACCUCCUUACAAUUAUUUGGGUAGAAUUAUAAAUACUCAAACUGUUUCCCAUCAAAAUUUAAAAUUACGGAUUGAUCAUUUACAAACUUUAAAUGAUUUUCAAAAACUUUUAGGAGAUAUUAAUUGGAUUCGUCCUUUUUUGAAAGAAUGAUGACGUCUAGAAUAACCCUUAUUUGAUAUUUUGAAAGGAGACUCUAACCCACGUUCUUCUCGUAUUUUGACAGAAGAAGCUAAAUUGGCUUUAAAUAAGGUAGAAGAAGCUAUUAAUAAACAACAAUUGCAAAGAGUAAAUUAUACUCAAACUUGGGAUUUUUUUUAUUUUACCUACUCCUCAUACACCCACAGGAGUAUUAUGGCAGUCAGGUCCUUUAGAAUGGAUACAUAUGCCGGUUACUUCUAAAAAGGUUAUUUGCUCAUACCCUACUGUGAUUGCUUUAUUAAUAAUAAAAGGAAGACAUAGAAGUAGAGAAUUAUUUGGAAAAGAAAUAAAUAAUUUGGUGAUUCCUUAUUCUAGAGAUCAAUUAAAUACACUUAUGGAACAUUCUGGAGAUUGGCAAAUAGCUUUACAGGGAUAUUGUGGUCAUAUUAAAUUUCAUUCGCCAUCUCACCCUUUGUUAUAUUUAGUUAAGAAUCACCCUGUUAUUUUUCCAAAAUUGUUUUUUUCUGAACUUCUACCUCAACCAGCAGCUUUAGUUUUCACUGAUGGCUCCUCAAAUUGAUGAGCAUCUUUAGUUAUUAAUGAUAAAACCUAUGUUCAACAGACAGAAGAAACCUCUGCUCAGAGGGCAGAAAUAAUAGCUGUAAUUAUGGCUUUUACCCAAUUAAAAGAUCAAAUGUUUAACUUAUAUACUGAUUCUCAAUAUAUUGUGAAAAUUUUUCCUCAUAUAGAGACAGCUUCUCUUCCUCAGAAUAAGACUACAAUUUUUCAUCAUUUAAAUUCUUUACAGAAGUUAAUUUUAGAUAGACAACAUCCUUAUUUUAUAGGGCGUAUUCGAGGACAUUCUAACUUACCAGGAGAAUUGUCACAAGGCAAUGCAUUGGCAGAUUCAUUAACUAGACCCCAAAUUCUUACUGUUCAGGAAGCUACAGCUAGUCAUGCUUUACAUCAUCAAAAUGCUUCUGCCCUUUGACAGCAAUUUCAUAUCCCUAGGGAAUCAGCUAGAACUAUUGUCAGAAAUUGUCAAACCUGUCCAUCAUUAUUGCCAACUUUACCCAUGGGAGUUUAUCCUUGUGGUUUAAGACCUAAUGAUCUAUGGCAAAUGGAUGUUACUCAUAUUCCUUCAUUUGGAAAAUUAAGUUAUGUUCAUGUUGUUGUUGAUACUUUUUCUCAUGUGAUUAUUGCCUCAGCAAGAACUGGGGAAGCAUAUAAAGACGUAGUGCAACACUUGUUUAUUUGUUUCUCAUAUUUGGGAAUGCCUAAAGCAUUAAAAACAGAUAAUGCACCAGCUUAUACUUCAAAUGUUUUUAAAAAAUUUUGUGAUAUGUUUAAAAUUUCUCAUUCUACAGGAAUCCCUUAUAAUCCUCAAGGACAAGCUAUAGUUGAGAGAGCUCAUCAAACAUUGAAAGCUCAAAUUACUAAACUUCAAGAAGGAGAAUAUAAAUAUAGUUCUCCUCAUCAUGUUUUACAACAUGCUUUGUUUGUGAUUAAUCAUCUUAAUUGUGAUUAUAAAGGAGUAACUCCCAUGUUAAGACAUUGGGAAAAUUAAAAAAUAUCAGCAAAAACCUUGGUAAAAUGGAAAGAUCUUUUGACAGGUAAAUGGAAAGGACCUGAUAUAUUACUAACUUGUGGGCAAGGAUAUGCUUGUGUCUUCCCACAGGACGCAGAUUCCCCCAUUUGGAUUCCUGACAGACUGAUUCGACCCUAUGUCCAGCCUCCAGACCAGAAAGCAGAACAGAUGGUGUCCUCCGAGUCUCCGAUACGCCUCACCAUUGACCACAGUUCCUGAGGAAGAUUUGAUGACUACCUUGAUUCCAUCUUUCUCCUGAAUGAACUUUGAUGAUCCUCAAUCUUUAUUCAGAUGAUCAUCUUCUACAAGAUCUGCAGAACUACCAACUUGGGGACAAUUAAAACAAUUGACUCAUCAAGCUCGAGAACUUAUCUCUAUUCAGUCAAACCCCUGCACUCCUGAGAAAAUGUUUGUUGCUAUGCUAGCUAUUCUUGCCUGUCAGGUAACCAAUGUGUCUUCUGAAUAUUAUUGGGCAUAUUAUCCUGAUCCACCUUUAUUUCAUCUCACUACUUGGGGAAAAGGAGAUAUUAAGGUAUUUACCAAUAAUACUAAUUUCCUGGGGGGUGAAUCUAAUUCUUUUAUUACUCCUAUAUCAACUAAUAAUUUUAGUUUUAAGGGUCAUAGUCAUUUACCUCCUCUGUGUUUUAGUUAUAAUGUUAUUCAAAUUGUGGGCUGCAUACCACUUAAUUAUAGAACUUUUAUAACAAAUUCUCCAAAUGAGGAAAGUGAUAUAAAGGAUCUUUGGAUGCUUUCUAUUUUAGCUUUAAAUUUUCCUGAUUUUAAAGAAAAUUUGCCUUCAGAAAAGUCCCCUCCUAUGUUUCAAGAUUGUGAAAAAGCUGAGUCCCAUUUUGAUCAUUCAUGGGUAGGAAUAGAUAGACAUUUUGGAUUUCCAAUGUGGCAUACAUGUAUAUUUAUUGAAAGAGGAUUUAAAUCUUUCCAAAAAAUUCUUCUUUUCCAAUAUAUGAUUUUUCUAUUUCUAAAUCUGAUUAUGAUGUUCCUAAAAUUUUGUCAUCACCUUCAUGGAAUACUCCUCAAAUACGAAUUAUUAGGAGCGUUCCACUUGAACCCAUGAAUGGAUGGUUCUCAGCUGGAUGGGUUGCCCCUUUAUAUUUUACUAAAAUUAAACAACAUUAUCAGGUUUAUACAGAACCUUAUAGGUUAUUGGCUUCUUUAGACAUAAUACAUAUGAUUAGACCUUCUUCAGUACAUGAGAGUUAUUUUGUUAUGGCUUGUGUAGGAUCCCCUUAUGCAAUAUUACUUAAAAAUCAAGGAACACUAAAGAUUUCAAAAUUAGAGGAUGAAACUUAUGAUGUUGUUCGUGAAGGUUGUACAUUAACAAAUUGUAUUGAUCCUAGCAUAUCAGCAUCCAAUCAUAUUUUAAUUGUACAUCAACCUUCUUAUGUUAUGUUGCCUGUUAAAUUAGAUUCUAUUUGGUAUGAUGAUCCCGGGUUACAAGCAUUAGAUUUAGUUAAUCAAGCCUUUAUUAGACCUAAACAUUUUGUAGCUACCUUAAUUUUAGGAAUUUCAGCAUUAAUUGGUAUAAUAGGGUCCAUAGUUGCUUCCACUACUGCAUUAGUUAAAGAAGUUCAUACUGCUCAUCACGUAAAUCAGUUGUCAAAAAAUAUUUCUACUGCACUUAUGAUUCAGGAACAUAUAGAUAGGAAGUUAGAAGCUAGAGUUAAUGCUUUAGAAGAGGCUGUCGUUUAUAUUGGUAAUCAAAUUCAAAAUAUAAAAACUUGAAUGACAACUAGAUGUCAUUCUCAAUAUAAAUGGAUUUGUGUUACUCCUCACACAUAUAACUAUUCUGAAGAAACAUGGUCCCAGAUACAGUGUCAUUUACGAGGAUUAUGGAAAAACACUAAUUUAACUCUAGAUAUAGAGGAAUUACAGGAAAAAAUUAAAGUCAUUAGCCAGGUACAUAUUUCAGAAACAACCAUUCCAGAAUUAGCUGACACAUUUGUUUCCAAAUUAAAUUCUUUAGUCUCCAGCAAAACCUUAUUUUCUAUUUUAAUCAAUAGUGUUUUAAGUAUUUUAAUUAUUCUUGUCCUUAUUUUUUUCCUUCCAGUCCUGUUCAGAUUGCUGAGUCGUGGAAUUCGUACAGCCCAUCUGGAACUAAAGUUACUUCAUUUAAAAAAUUAAAAAAAGGGGGAAUUGGUGAAGGCGAUCCCCCACUCACUGUCUUGACAGGGUCACAGUGAGAAAAAGUGUUGGCCAAGCUGCUCUCCCACUGUCUUGACAGGGUCACAGUGAGGAUGAUGCUGGCAAAGCCACGUUGGUUGGUGGGAAACCGAAACCAUGAGACCCCUUUUUAUGUAAUUGGGAAUUUUCAUUUUCAUGCUUAUGUUUCUGACAGGAGGCAUGAGUAUGUUAAAUGCCAAACAAAUUAAAUUUCAGAUGGCUAGAACAUAACAGGUAGUUCAUGCCUUGGAGGCUGUUCUACUACCCUUCAGCAUAUCAAAGACAAAGUAGAAGGCUGUUCUUCUAUCUCAGUACAUUGUGGAUAAACCUGAUAAUGGACAACAAUCAUCCUUUGAAAGGUCAUAAGAAUUUUAGGCAGCACAUUGAUUAUAUCAACUAGAACCCAAGCCCAUAUUUCCGGCCUCUUAGAAAACCUAAUCAGUAUGCUUAUUUCACAAAGUUCACCACAUGCA
rnacentral:lncRNA from 1 species